UGAAGCAAAUCGCACCAAAGCCGGUCCCAGUUCGGAUAAGAGGCUGAAACUCGCCUCUUUGAAGUCGGAAUCGCUAGUAAUCGCAGAUCAGCAUGUUGCGGUGAAUACGUUCCCGGGUCUUGUACACACCGCCCGUCAAACCAUGAGAGUCACCAACACCCGAAGUCCGCUUUGGCGGCCUAAGGUGGGGGAGAUGAUUGGGGUUAAGUCGUAACAAGGUAUC
rnacentral:rRNA from 1 species